GGCCUAUCCCUGAGGGGGGUUCAGAUCCUGGCUCUGUCCUGUCCCCCCUGUGUGACCUCAGCACAUUCCUGCACCUCUCUUAACAAACCCUGCCAACAGCUGAGUUGCUUAGCACCUGCUAUGUCGUGCAGCUUGGAGACCCUGCGCACCCUUUACCAGGACCCUGUCUCCCAAAGCUCGGUGAGGCGCCUGGUCAUCCCCCAGGAUGUGGGAGGCCGAGGCUGGGAGCAGAGGGCGGCCCGCACCUGCCACAGGGCUGAUCUAGGCUGGGGCUGGGAUUGGAAUUCCAUCCCCAGGUGCCCCCGACAUGAGGGCUGGAUCUGCUGAAGCCGGGGCCAGAGGCCUGUGCUGCCCCCAACCUGGGAACCUCCAGACCACACUGAUGCGACCGCUGCCUCCCAGUUCCCAGGAACAGAUACUGAGCUCUGAGCAAUGGGCACAAUUUCAGACCCAGCGUCCUGGCGGUGCCAUAAAACUGCAGCAGCGAAGCUCACUGGAGUCAUUUUCUCCUGUGCUGCUGACACGGAGAGGAAAAAUCCCCAAAUAAAGCUCUUCCCACAGCCACAGCCACGAAAACAUUGUCCCCUGCAACUGUGCUCGCUACUCAAACAUGAUUUCUCCUCCUCAGGGGGAAAAACCUCCCAGCAAUUCUCAUUGCAAGAUGGUAAACCUGUCGCCCUAAUGAACAGCUUUCAUUUAGAACCCAGCGAGAAGGGGCGCACCGGGAGACGGCAGCUUUGUUGACUGCGAUGUUUCCAAAUCACUUGCUCAACCUGCAGCGUUCCCAUGGAGCUUGGAGCGCCCAGCAUAGGGCUUUAUUGUUGUUUUGAGGCAAGAAAGAAGUUUUCAGAAGCC
rnacentral:lncRNA from 1 species